rnacentral:misc_RNA from 1 species
AAGGCUUGCAUUCCCCAGAGGUCUUGUAGUCUUCUCUUCGGCAUCAUCCCGCUAAUAACCGCUAACCGCCAUCCACCACACCGAGCCUCCCGAGCCCUCGCACCUCCAUCCCUGUUUCCCAUGGCUGUGCCUCCGCGGUGGGCGAACCUCAACAUCGACCUGGUGACGGAGAUCAUGAACCGCAUCCCGUGCGCAAUCGACCGCGCGCGGAUGGCCGCCGUCUGCCAGGCGUGGCUCGCGGGGAUCGCGCGGGCAGAGGAUCUGACAUUUCAGCUCCCGUCGCUCUUCCUCCCACCCGCGGACGUGACUGGCGUCUACUGCUACCUCAGCGGUUGCCGCGAGCACAGCAUGUUGCCCUUGCCCGGGCCCCGCUACUUCGGCUCAUACGACGGCGGCUGGUUCUUCCUCGCCUACGGCCAGACUCGCGGGCACCGGCUGCUCAACAUCCGCACCGGAGACUCCCACGCGCUACCCGACAUGGUCCUGGAUCAAGCCGCUCACGAAACACACAGCAUGGUCAUCCUCGCCGCCGCCAUCUCGUCCACGCCUGAUGACUUGUACGACGCCGCGGGCAUCGUCACCUAUCAGCCGGACCUCGACGCGCCGCGCCGACGCCACUUCGCGUUCUGGAGCCAAGGGGAUGCGGUGGCCGUCUGCAACGUUUUGCCCGGCGCGCCAGUUGCAGUUGGGGCGGGUUGGGAACCGGAGGACGUCGUGUACUACCGGCGCAACUUCCUUUUCCUCACCCAUGCUGGGCAUAUCGUCGUGUGCACCCCGAUAUAUGAAAAUGAUGAUGGUGGGAAUAUCCUGGUAGUGCCGUGGAAGUUAAUGCCCUUCCUGGAACGGAACUUCCGUGACUGCGUAUGGGAAUGGGAAUAUCCUGCUAGUACGGUCAUCCGCGCUUGCUACCUUGUGGAAUCCCGCGGGCUACUGCAUAUGGUCGUCAGGCUCGCUGCCCAUCAUCACGCGCCGACGUCGUGGUUCAAGGUGUUCGACAUGCAGCCUUUCGAUAUCAUCGAGCCAGACGAUGAUAACGAGGAGGCUGAUGAGAGGAGCUGGACCUGGUACGAGGUGGAAGCAGUAUUGUUGGACCGGAUGCUGUUCGUGGGGCGAGGAUGCUCCAGGUCCUACGAGGUGAGUCAGUACCCGGGGUUCAAGGACGGCAUCUUCUUCUUGGAUGAUCAGAGCUUCUACGACGCCGAGAUGAUGUUCGGUGGAGUCAGUGAGAGGCAGUACCCUUGCAACGACAUCGGCAGGUGGUCGCCGCCGGAAGGGCUGCUGCCUUCCCACGUCGAAUUCUACUUCCCGGAGCGGGUUCCUUCGCACAACUCUCCUCCGGUUUGGCUUCUCCCUUGAGACGGCAGGCAGGUCUGUUCCUCUUGCGCGCGGUAACUGUUGGUUCGGCUAAACAGCGAAACAGUAGCUGAAAUUGUAUGCAUACCUAAGACCCAGAUGUGUUCUGUUUGCCGAAUUUUUUGUAUUUUAG